UUCCAUAAAGAGGGAACAGGUGACGCCGUAAGGCGCUGAAAAGAGAAGCCGGUCAAAGCCGGCGCGGUCCCGCCGCUGUAAGGGGAGCGAAUCUGCAUAGAUAUGUCACUGGAUGAACAUCUGGGAAGGCGCAGAGGAGCGAUGAACCGAGCCAGAAGAACUGCCUGUCCGAAAAUCACCGUU
rnacentral:ncRNA from 20 species